AAUCAACGCUGGCGGCGUGCCUCAGACAUGCAAGUCGAACGAUUAAAGCUCUCUUCGGAGAGUGCAUAGAGUGGCGCACGGGUGAGUAACACGUAAGUAAUCUACCCUCGAGUGGGGAAUAACGUCCGGAAACGGACGCUAAUACCGCAUAAUGCAGCGGCACCGCAAGGUGAGAGUUGUUAAAGAUUUAUCGCUUGAGGAGGAGCUUGUGGCAGAUUAGCUAGUUGGUAAGGUAAUGGCUUACCAAGGCUACGAUCUGUAACCGGUCUAAGAGGACGGUCGGUCACACUGACACUGAAUAACGGGUCAGACUCCUACGGGAGGCAGCAGUCGGGAAUUUUGGGCAAUGGGCGAAAGCCUGACCCAGCAACGCCGCGUGAAGGAUGAAGUAUUUCGGUAUGUAAACUUCGAAAGAAUAGGAAGAAUUAAUGACGGUACUAUUUAUAAGGUCCGGCUAACUACGUGCCAGCCGCCGCCGUAAAAC
rnacentral:rRNA from 1 species